GGCACGGGGCGGGGGGGGGUUCUUUCUGUCAUCUCUAGUUUGAUGGCUUGUUGGCAGCACCCAGCAAAGAUUUACAAGCAUUAGUCAAGAGCUGCGAUCAAUUGGUGAAGCUAGCACUAAAACCUGGACCUGAACCAGCUCUACCCCUCCCUCUCCUCCACUGAAACCCACAGCGUGGGGUGAUGGCUGCCAGCUUCGCUCCAGAAAGCUGGAAAGUGACACCCCUCCUGAGCACUGGCCAGCCCGUUGCCACAACCCUGCUGCACAGGAGCUUGCAGCUUUCCCUGGGGAGGAAGGAAAGGUUGGACAAUCAUUUCAUCACUUACUACAUUUAUUGCAGCAAGACCUGGGCUUCUCAGGACAAACCCUAUGAGGCAUGAAGCAGCGAGGGAGGCGAGGAAUGUGUUACAGAAAGCCUGUUGUUUGAUAGUUGAAUCCAGAUGUUACGGGAAGGAGCAGAGCUGUGUGAGUGGGAGAGAAAAAGGCUGGAGCAAGAGAAAGUAAGGAGCACCAAGCCUGCCCUCCCAGUUAGACCAGUUAAACACAAAAGGAAUGUGAAUUCAACUCUUCGGGUACAUCUAUUCUGCCCCCAGCAGAGGACAGAAGCUGGACCGAAAGUGAAGCCUUCCCAAACCUUCAGUGCAAGAGAAGGACCGACCCACAGAAACUGCUAAAUCCUCCUCCCCUAUUCCAGUGUGACGUCUUUUGGCCCACGCCAAGAGGAGCCUGCCGCAGGAGGCAUCCACAGCCAGUGCUUAGUCAUGGGCCCUCUUCACAAAAGCAGCUAUUACUCCUGUAAGGAGCUGUAGAACAGUGCUGGCCACAAGGGACAUUUUCCAAGUAUUACCUAGUAGCUCCCAAAUCUACACCAGCAGCAUGAACUCUGAAGUCCCUCCUUCAGACAGACCAGACUCUUCCACGUGAUCCUUCCAGCAAUCAUGGCUUUUCUAAAGAAGGGCAGCCCAGACCUUGACCACUGUUAGUGGAUGGUCCCCACCGGUUCCCACGGUUCAGGAUUUCUCCGUUAGGGCCUCAGGUCCCCUGUGAGGGAUCCUCAUCUAUAUUGUAUGGUGUGGCUUCAAGGGUAUUAUUUUUGUGGCAUUUCUCUAUUCCACCCUCACUGUGAACCAGGUCACACAAGACCAUGGCAGGAGCAGGCUCAUGCUCUUGAGUCUCUUACUAUGAAUUUACCCAGGGGAAAAGGGGCAAAACCCCCUCCUGACACGCCAAGAACUGCUCUCCUCCCCCCAUCCUCUGCCUUUCUCAUCCUCCCUGCAGCUGCAUCCAGCCUCUGCAUAAACAAGCAUGGUAUCUCAAUUAAUGUGCAUCUAAUCAGGACAUCAGCAUCUUGGGAAAAGAGUCUGCAUCGGCUAUAGAGGUUGAGCACGCAGUUAACCUCCCAGUGCUCUGCCACUGGUGCCUGUUCAUUCAAUUACACCCAGGCUGCUGUACUCCUCAACCUUUUAAUUGCCCAGGACAGAGAAUAGGGUGGUAAACAGGUCAGAGACAGAAGAUGCUAGGCAUUGUUUUAAGACAGUAAAGCUGUUUUUAAACACCAUUCAGAAUCUUGUUUUAUGUAAUUGCCGAGAAAAGGAGGGCAUUCAGGAGCGGCAGCAGUGAACACGCAAAAGGGAUACUGAAUAAUUUUUAAUUAAUGAAAAAUUACUUGAAGCCUGAUUCCCUUCUGUAACAGUAAGAUCUCUACUGAACAGCACAAUGCAAAUCCUUUCCCAGAGCUUCAGAUCAAGCCACAGGUCCACUGUAGUAAUAUUCCUGAUAAUAGCUGGGAUUUAGUCAACAAGCUGGGGGACUGUGAGGGUAAAAAAAAAAAAUCCAAUUAACUCUCCCAGAGUUCUAUUAGUUCUGCAGUGCUCUGAACAACAGUAAAAAGCUGGUUUUUAUGUGUUCAGAUCCCCAAAAUAGUUGCCCUGAUUGAAUCCUUCAAAAAGCACUGAUGAUUCUUUCAUGUAGCUUUAAAAGUAGAGUUUGGCAUGAAAAUGAAAGAUGGAAGAUUAAAGAGAUCAAGGCAGACCAUUUGGUCUGAUCCCUGACCUCAGUUAUACCAACUUUAGUUGAGAUUAACACCAGUGUAAAUAAGAUGAGGAACUCAGGGGCUCAACAGGCAGCAAAAGUUUGUUGUCAGCUGAUUUUCAUCUCGAAGACUUAGGCAUCUCAGGCCGUUUUGGACAACUGCUGCCUGUGUUUUCAAAGCCCAACCAAAAAGUCUGGUUUUCCUUCCCCUCGCCUUUGCCUUACUGCCGUGGUCUGUCUGUGUAAGCGGUGAGCCAGCACGCUGGAAGGAGAGGGCUGCCAGGCUCUCAGCGUGCACACACUGAGCUCUCCUCAGCCCAGUGAGGGAAAUAAACCUGAUGAGGCCAGGGGAGGGACAGAAAGCCAUGGUAAACCACAGGCAAGCUGCCCAGCAAAGGCUGGGGAAAGGACGGCUCCCAGGACCUGCUAGCUGGAUUAGCAGUCUGAUCAGGGCACAAGGUCUGAGGAUGUUUCCUGGGGUUCUGAUCAUCUCUGCAGCCUCCGAGGUCAGCUAACAGUGCAGUGUUCUCCCUGCCGAAAGCGCCGCAGAAAGGACCUGCAGAGCUGUGAGUGCACUGGGAGUAGCUCCCAGAGACAUGCAUUGCCCCAGGAACACUGGAAAGCCUCCUCAAGCCCCUGUUCUACCUCCAUCCAACAGUACAUCAUGCUUCCCAGCUUCCGCAGAGUCAGGAUCUUGCUUCUUCCCACGGCAGUUUGUGGGUGAUCCUGGUGUGUUAUAAAUGAGCAUAACCUAGUGUUAAACCUCUUGCAUUGUCAAAACAGGUGUACGCAAGAGCUUUGAUGCUUGCUCCAUCCAUCUCCUCCAUGUCUUAACCAAGCAAAGGUGCUGUGUACAGUUCAUUAGACACAGCCCAAUAAAUCACCUUGAAAGAAAUAUGGCUUGACAUCCCUGCUUUGUUUGAGCUCUGGCUUGGAAAAGACUUGGUGUCAGGGCACUGAGCAUGCCAGCAGGCACUAAUUGCCCCAGCGAGCCUCGCCCAAGCCUCAGCCCACACACUCUUCCUGCUGGCCCCACAGCCCUCCUCUGAGCACCCAGUGGGGAGACCCACUGGAGAAGACGAGCAGCGUAGGACAAGGCUGUGUCUUUGCCAUCGCAGGCAUGACCCUGGGCAGGGGUUGCCGCACAGGCUUUGUGGGGAUAACUGGUCCAGCCAACAGUUUAGUGAGCAGCAGGCAAGUGUGAGAUGAUAAGCCAGGCAAGGGCCAUGCUGAGGAGGUAAGUCAAGUUCAAGAGGUCCCACCUGCAGGUAAGGGCUGGGGACCAGGGUCUUUGCUUAA